rnacentral:lncRNA from 1 species
GGAGGUGUGCUUCAACUUUUGUUUUUGGUUUUUUUUAUAUAUUUUUUUUAAUUUAGAAAAUUCCAGUUUUUCUUAAAAAAAAUUUAAAAAUUAUUUUUUUUGCCACGUUGCACACAUUUGGCAGCCACGUUAGUAUUUAACGGAUCAAUGGAUGAAAAAUUUAACAGAUGUAUUAUUUUGAAAUAAAAUAGUAAGUGAGGUAUGAAAGUGAAAUGUUUUAAAGAUGUUGUAUAAGGUUGUAAUAAACCUCAAACCUGAGGGGUUACUAUGUAAUUUACCCUUUAUUUUAAUAUAAUACAAUCGGUACAUUUUUCAUCUAUUGAUUUGUUAAGAAUUGACGUGGUUGCCACAUUUAUGCUGACAUAGCUACCAAAUAUGUGCUACUUGGGAAAAAAUAUAUAAAUUUUUAUGCAUUUAAAAUAUUAUAAUAAUUUAUCCUAAAAAAAAAAAAAACUGAAACCCAGAACCCAGAAACCCAUUCCCCCGAUCUACCUCCAUCUCCUCCACUCUCUUCACCUCCCCUCCCAUCCAAAAACCCACCCCAUUCUCCACUCGAGGGGUUUGUUAACUG